rnacentral:lncRNA from 1 species
CCAAAGACGUAAAGAGGAUGGAAGAACUGGGAAGGGAAAUGGUUGAACAUUGUGCCGGUCUUCCGCUAGCUAUAGUCGUUUUGGGUGGAAUUCUUGUAACAAAACCGUCGUUGAUAGAGUGGGAGAAGGUAUAUCGUGAUAGUAAAUCAUCCCUCAAGGCGGGGAGAGGAUUGGAAGAAGCCUAUCAAAGGGAAAUAUUAAGUUUUUUAGUUUGGAGCUACAAUGAUUUACCCCCUCAGUUGAAGCCAUGCUUUUUAUAUUUAUCUAAGUUUGGUGAUAAUAAAUAUAUAGAAGUGGGGACUUUGUAUCAGCUGUGGAUCGCCGAAGGAAUGAUACUCUCGAGUGACAAAAGGGAAGGAGAAACAAUGAUUCAAGUGGCUGAAUCAUACAUGGGAGAACUAGUCCACAGGAGUAUGGUUCAAGUGAGAUUUAACAAUGUGAAAUCAUCACCUACAAAGUUUGAAGAUUGUUCUCUGCAUGACCUUAUGCGAGAUAUGUCUUUAAUACAAGCAAAAGCAGAAGAUUUUUUUGAAGAUAUACAUUCCAAAGUGCAAAUGAGUUUCAUCUCAAAUCUACUGCAGAUUCAAGAAACACAACUCGACUUGUGAUUAAUUUGGAUGAGGAAUAUUCUAGGAAAAAAGUUAAUUACUACUUCUCCAAGAAACGCGAUAAAAAAUGCUAUCGAUCAAUUUUACUCCUCGGUCAGUUUGGAGCGAGAAGUUUGCCACGGUCGCUCGGGUCACAUGUUGCCAAUUUUAGGUUCCUAAAAGUGUUUUCAGUGGAGAAAUAUACCAAUUUUUCUGGUGCAUUUUCCCAUAUUAAUUUUGGAAGAGCAUUAGGGGCCCUUGUUUACUUGCGAUAUCUUAGUGUAAGGGGCACUAAUUUGUUGGUUUUUCCUUCUAUACAAAAGUUGGUACUGUUACAAACUCUUAGAUUGCAUACAUGCGAUGAUAUGUAUGCUUUACCAUGGUUGUCAAGAGAUGUUCUGGUGAAGCUCGAUUGUUUGCGGCACCUGUAUUUGCCUAAAUUUAAAGUUGACGUUUUGGUAAGGAAAUCGAAAUUACGGUUUAAUGGGUUGAGCAAGUUAGAGACCCUGGAGAACUUUGACACUACUUGGUGUGAGGUUAAGGAUCUACGUGAACUAAUCAAUCUUCGGAAACUAAUGGUAACAGUGAGAGGUAGCUGUGAUAUUCUGGAAGAAAUGAUGAAAAACUUGGAUGAUAUAGCCUCCUCACCAUCUUCAUGUCUGAGCUACUUGGGUGUUGCUAUUAGUAAUUGUCAUCUCGAGCUGAACAAUGGUCUUACUAUCUUAAAACAAUUGGUAUAUGCUGAAAAUUUGAACCUUCGGGAUUUGAAAAUAUAUGGGCGUAUCCCAGAGGUGGGUCUAAUAUUUCCGCUUCAAUAUGUAUCUACAAUUGGUAUUACAAGUUUAACUUUAGCGAGUUCAUGCCUAGAAGAAGACCCGAUGCCAAUACUGGAAAUGCUUCCAAUGUUGGGUGUUCUCUGUUUGUUUAAGGAUACAUAUGUGGGGAAGGAGAUGGUGUGCUCCGCAACCUGUUUUCCUAAACUCACCUCUCUUUAUUUGCAAGAGUUCCCAAACCUUGAAAAAUGGAGGGUGGAGAAAGGAAGCAUGCCCAUGCUUUCAUACUUGCGUAUUGAAAGAUGUAACAAGUUGGAGGAGCUUCCCGAAGGCCUAGUGUUCCUCAAGUCCCUUCAAGUACUAGAUAUAUUUCAUAUGCUUCAAGAUUUUAAUGAUAGGCUUAAAAGGCAUGAUGGUGAAGAGGGACCCGACUUUCACAAAAUUUCUCAUGUCGAUAGACUCAUUAUUGACGAUCAGGAGUUAAAUUGAAUGUUCUUGCAAGCUUAUUAUUCCACAAAAUUAUUAGUUCACUUAUAAGGCUAUAAGCCAUAUUUGUCAAAAAAAACAAAAAAAAACUACUCCUUUAGAAAACGGCUCAGCGUUCUCAGGUUCAUAUUCACACCAUAUUCUCUUGUGAACUAGGGGCACAAUUUUCAUCAUUUUCUUUGUCUUACAAGCAUGCAAUCUAGUCAUUUGAAAUUGAUCACUUUAAAGACCAUCCUUGUGUCUCGUUCAUUUUCCUUGAGGUGAACAAGAGUUGAACAUAUUCGGAAGCAAUAAAUAUAACAGUCUUAUAACAGAAUAUCGAUUUAUGAUAAUGUUAGACUGCAGAAAAUGAGAGGAAGUAAUUUUUCACUGACCAAUAUGUAAUAUGUUUUCAUGCUAUUGCGGCCAACACAACAGAGUACAUUGUUUCCCACAUGUUGCAACAAAACACCAAAACUAGGAGACUUCUAACUCUUGACUCCACCCAUUGUUCAAACUUUUUCUUUGUGAUCUUUUUUUAUAAUGAAACACUUUUGUAUUUUUUUCCUUUAUAGUUAAAACUACGAUAUAUACAGCGUUUAGGACUGGGAAACUGCUUUCUUCAAGACGCUGAAGGCAACGAGCAUAAGCAGUGAUAUCAUGAUCUUCUUUGAAGCAAGAAUCCGCAAGUUCACCUUCAUGCCAUGGUCUCUCAUGAGCUUCACUGUUGCCCUAAUUACUGAAAUAAGCCAGAAUACAACGGACAAGAACACCACUUUCAUUGUGUCUGCAGGUCCAUUCACACUUCUUGUGCCUCCCGACACCUCGACAUAGGACCAAGCAGCGCCUUGAUUAUCGGUAGUUCCACUAUGAUUGAGGCCAAGUUUCUCGUUCAACCAACAUGAUAAAGUCACAAGCAGCUUUGCAAGCCAUGCAAUCUCAUCACUGGAGACUGGUCGCUUCAACCAGUCACCCCUGUAUUUCGUACCGGUUUGCUUCUUGUUGCGUAUCAUUCUAGGACUAAAUAUCUCAUCACGUGGAUGCUGAUUUUCUCUUGUCUCGGGGACUGCUUGUGUGUUCCUUGGAGUAGAGUUACCAAAUAAGCACCCCAUCUGGGCUUUGAUAGAAUCUAAACAAGCCAUAUUGUGAGCAUGAUUAUCUCCCAAGACGGUCUGCAGCUCCGACUCAGCACGCAGCACAAAGAGCUGCAAUUACAAUGUGAGUAGUGAGUGAGACUUGAGAUUUAGAAUGAUGUCAAUAUGCUUAAGACCUGCACAAGAAAUACAAGAAACAUAUACAAAAUAAGUAAACGGAAACUAUAACGAAUUGAUCCUGGGAUAAAAAUAUAUACUAAUUAUAAAAGAAAAUUUCCCCACUGUUACCCUGACUCUUCAUUUUGCCUCAAGUACACGUGUCGGACACUCAACACUUGAACAUCGGACACUCAACACUUGAACAUAGGUACAGACACUACAGAACUUAUUUUAGGCCAAAAACAUGUAAAUUUUCAGAAUACUACCGAGACACACUCGGACAGGUAACCAUGUUGGACACUUUUAGCUGACUCCAGGUAAUAUAGAUUCUUCAUAUGUAAGCUUACCAGAAGUAUCCCAUCAGUGCCCAUAAAUGAAAAGAAGCCGAAAGAAACUAUAAAAGAGGAAUAUAGCAGAUUAUUAUUAAUUAGUAGCCUUGCAUCAGUUUCCUCUAUAAUUCAACACAAGUAGCUUACGCGGAUAAAGACAUUCUUACCAGAUGCUGACGCAAGGAUUGAUGUAGAAAGAAUCCGGAUUUUGCUCCGGGAUGUACGAGAGCUUGCCUAUGAUGCUGAACAUGUUGUCGAAACUUUUGUUAUUAAAGCCUCAUCCACUAAAAAACCAUUUCAGCGGAUGAACAGAGUCAAGUUUUCAAGAAAGAUGAAAAAUAUACAGAAAAAGAUGUCCCUCCUCUUCAAUUUAUUUUCUGAUUAUAAUAUCAUACCAACUUCUGAAUCAACUUUCUCAAACAGGGCAAGUUUUCAAGAAAGAUGAAAAAUAUACAGAAAAAGAUGUCCCUCCUCUUCAAUUUAUUUUCUGAUUAUAAUAUCAUACCAACUUCUGAAUCAACUUCCUCAAACAGAGAAUCGGGAAAACUUAAGCGAUUUCACUCUUUCACUACUCCUGAACCAGAGUUAUUUGUUGGAUUUCAUGAAGACGUUGAAUGCUUGGUGCGACAUUUGGUGGAUGAAACUCAUGAUUCUUACCCACUUAUAUCUAUUUGUGGAAUGGGGGGCCUGGGAAAGACUACUCUCGCUCAAAAGAUAUACAAUCACUCUGCCAUCAAGACUCACUUUGCUGGUUUAGCAUGGGUAUCAAUUUCGCGAAAGUGGCAGACAGAUCGUGUGUUGCAGAGAAUUCUCAUAUGUCUCGUACCUGAGAACAAAGAAUCUAUCCUUAAUAUGGACAGCAACAAGCUAGUGGAGUAUAUGCUACAUAUUAAGGAACGGAAAAAAUGCUUGAUAGUCCUCGAUGACAUAUGGUCAACUGAUGCUUGGGAUGCAUUAAAAGCUGCAUUCCCAGCCGGGAAGUCCAUAAGCAAAUUAAUGCUUACAAGCCGUAAUGUUGAGGUUGCUAAGCAUGUAAAUUUGAACGGAUUCAUUCACAAGCCAGAAUGUCUAAAUCCAGAACAAAGUUGGGAGCUACUCAAGUUGAAAGCACUUCACACAGGAAAUUGUCUAGGUACAUAAUUUUACUUGCGUUAAUUAUAGUUCAUAUACUUUUUCCGCACCCUAUCUUUGGUACGACAGCCUUAAUGAGCCAUAUUUUCUGUUACUUGAGUUGGAUAAGUUUGGUUAGAGAUCUGCCCAGACAACCUUAAAUAACAUUGUUCUGUUCAAGUAACAUUUUUUUCGUGUUUGUUUGAAUUCGUUAGUCGUUUACAAACGUAUGUAUUAGAAUUGUAAACGAAUGUAACAGUUCAUUAAGUGCCCUCUUGAGGUUGAGUUAACGAACUCGAAUUCAAACCACAUAUUUUGUUUGAGAACCUUAACAAACUUUAUGGGGUUCAGUAAUUUUUGCUGGUGUUGACUCGAAGUUUAUCGGAGUUAAGUUCAUUAACCAUUUCCCUUCCCAGUUCUUCCAUCCUUUUUACAUCUCUGGUAAUGUCUGCAAAACACAAGAUACGGGAAUCAUAUGUGUGUAUAUAUAGACACACAAACGCAAGCCAAGAUAAUUUCUAAUUUAGUCAUUUGACUGGUGCAAAUAUUUAAAAGACACGUUCAAGUUAUAGCCCUAAUUGAACAUUGUGCCGGUCUUCCGCUGGCUAUAGUCAUUCUGGGUGGAAUUCUUGUAACAAAACCGUCGUUAAUAGAGUGGGAGAAGGUAUAUCGUGACAGUAAAUCAUCCCUGAAGGCGGGGAAAGGACUUGGAGAAGCCUAUCAAAGGGAAAUAUUAAGUUUUUUAGUUUGGAGCUACAAUGAUUUACCCCCUCAGCUCAAGCCAUGCUUUUUAUAUUUAUCUAAGUUUGGUGAAGAUAAAUGGAUCAAAUUAGAGACUUUGUAUCAGCUAUGGAUCGCUGAAGGAAUGAUACUCUCGAAUGACAAAAGGAAAGGAGAAACAAUGAUACAAGUGGCUGAAUCAUACAUGGGAGAACUAUUGCAUAGGAGUAUGGUUCAAGUCAGAUUUAACAAUGUGGAAUCAUCACUUACAAAGUUUAAAGAUUGUUCUCUGCACGAC